AUGCUCGCCAGCCCCGCCCGGCCCACAUUGCGCAUGCUUGCCAACCACGCCCUGUCCACACCACACUGCGCAUGCUCGCCGGCCCCCGCCCCGCGCACGGCGUCAGCGUCUAGACGCAGGUGCGUUCCCGUCGAGGCUCGCGCAGCGGGCGUUUUUGGGGAUCGCCUGGCGGGGGUGUUCGGGAGCCGCGGGCUGAAGCACGGGGGCGUGCAGGCGCCCAGGCCUCGUGUAGUGAGGGCCGAGCCCCGCGCCGGCUUCGCUGUAGUCCGCAGCCCCCGGCGGCUUUGUGGGCGCAGCCACGCUCCUCAGCCGCCCGCCCACCUGGGCCUGGGCCCCGGUUGUUUCCCUGCGGUGGCUGUGGUCGUUCCCGUUCCAGGGUCUCGAGCGCACCGCCCCUUCGCUGCGCUGUUAGUCGAGGGCAGUUUUCUGGGGGAUCCCCCGAUCCCCCCGCGCCGCUCAGGCGUCUUGGCUCGCGGAAGCGCAGGCGCCGACUGCCUGGCGUCGUCCGUGACUCCUGGCCCUUCUCUGUGGAUCCCUUUGCUUCUCGUUGCGGGUUGUGUUUCCUGCUUCGUGGGCCUGGCCGUUUGCGUUUGGAUGCAGGCCCGGGUGAGCCCUGCGUGGCCCGCUGGCCUUUUCCUGCUCCCUAGGUGA
rnacentral:lncRNA from 1 species